GUCGGGGAGACGGGCAGAGGGGGUGGACGUUUGUGUUCUCGCUCUCGGAUAAUUUUUAAGUCAUUAGAUAUUAUCAGAGUGUGAUAGAUUUUAUUUUUAGUUCAUGUUUAAGUGAAUUUUAAAACAUAGAAUCUAAAAGAAGAAGAAAAAGAAAAAAAAGAUUUUGUUUUUUGAUUAAAAAAAAGAAGAAGUAGAUGUAUAUGUUCAUAAAUACUGGAAAAAGAAGCUUAGAAGACAAGAAACGUUGAUCAAGAAACUUUUUUUUCAUUUAUCGGGAAGAAAUCUUUGUUGCUCGUGAAGACCGAGUUCACCUGCAGACAAGGAUGACAGCCACGUAACUCAGGAAGAAAUUUAUUCUCUCCUUUAUCCCUUCCUCCUUCCUCCUUUCCCCCCCUUCCUUUCUCUCCAUAAAUAAAUAUAUAUAUAAAGAAGGAAGUAGAAGGAGAGAAGGAAGGUUCAAGAAAAAAAGGAUAAAAAAAAGGGAGACUGACAAGAGAGAGAGAGACAGAGAGGUGGAUAAGCCUACCUCUCCGGAUGAUGGAAACAUUGGACGUUUGAUCCUGGCUUGGUGUAGCGCGAGACGGCAGGGUCAGCUCGAGCACAAUGGUGAGCCGCGGUGUUUUCCCUUUUUUGAACGAGGAGGAGGAGGAGGAGGAUUUAAUUCGUUUGUUUGUUUCUUUUGAUCUAUAUCUGUC